CCGUGUUUCUGUUGACACAGCACAUUUAUAUUGCCCCAUAGACUUACCUAGAAACUCUCAGAAAGAACAGACAACCCCACAGUGGAGAACAGAAUUUCACUUACACUUCUGUGCACAGAGCAAGUUUUCGUAUUUGGAAUUUGUAAGUGUGGUAUAUUAAAUAUUUGGAAUAUGUCUCUGCUUAGUUAUCUGUGCAGGUGGAUCUGAUGUGGGGGGAGGUAGGGAGAUGGCAGCAUUUCCUUUCAUAGAAAUCCUUGGAUUCCCUUGAAGGUAGUAGUCAACACCACCACCCUGAUGUCAGUCAGGCUAGGAUUCUGGGUAAAGUUCUCAUAACUCUUCCUAGUGUGACCUUGGACCACCGAACAUGUAAGUCAUGUGGCACAAAAGAAUCUGCCUGGACAUUACCUUUUAACAUUUUGCAAUUGAAUGUGUACCCUGGGAGCACUCCAGAACUUUCCCUGUGCUGGGAAGUACAGUCACCUCAUGCACACUUCAUUCUGUGGCUUGAAAUCCUGUCCGCUGCAGAGAUACCCACUUUGGCAUUUUUCUUUUCAUUUUCUUUCUUUUUUCAUUUCAUUUCUUUUCAUUUUUUUGAGACAGGGGCUCAUUACCCAGACUGGAGUGAAGUGGUGCCCUCAUGGCUCACUGUAGCCUCAACCUCCCCAGCUCAAUUUAUCCGCCCACCUCAGCCUCCUGAGUAGCUGGGACCACAGGCGCGUCGUGCCACACCUGGCUAAUUUUUUUGUAUUUUUAGUAGAGAAGGAGUGUUGCUAUGUUUCCCAGGCUGGUCUCGAACUCCUGGGCUCAAGCAGUCCUCCCACCUCAGCCUUCCAAAGUGUUGGGAUUACAGGCCUUAGCCACCAUGCCUGGCCUCUGGCAUUUUUCCAAUGUCUCUCUUCUCUGAGUGGAUAAUGAAAUCUGAAACUUCCUAAAUGUAAUUUCCAAGGAACAAAUUUCAUAAACAUUAAUUUUAAACAAAUAUUUUUUGACUCCUGCAUGGAGAGUAAUUCAUCUAAAUUUCGGAGCCUGAUAAUGUGGGAUCUAAUCCCCGCUCUCCCGCUUCCUGGCUGUGAGACCCCAAGCAAGUUGCAGUUCCUACGUGAGUAGCAUUCCAUCCAGUGUAGAACUAGCAUCAUAAUUUGUACCUUAGAGGUAGGUGUAUUGAGCGAUAAAUAAUUUAUGUAAAAUGCCUGGAACUAUUCCUGGUUUAACGUUGCGCUCAAUAAAUAAUAGUUCAUAUUAUCAUUAAUCACAGCUGAGAAUGAGACUUGAGCUCUAAUUUUAUUUCAAUUCUAUUAGGAUUCAACAGGACAAAGCAAAUGUAUAUAGACAGAUGACAGUAACACACGUUUGUCUCUUUGGAACUGAAAAUUUCAAGAUAAAAAUUAGUAUUUAUUUGUAUUCUGCAGAGUCAGUAUUUUUCAAACCCUUAGUUAAAUAUGUUUACCUUUAUGAUCCAG
rnacentral:lncRNA from 10 species